CCUUGUGCAGGUCAGAUGUGGAUGCAGAUUUGGAUUCUAACUCUACACAGCCUCUAUAUUCAGUCUGCCUGAAUUUCAGGAUUUUGAGCCAAGUCCAUCUCUUAUUUUAGACUAUAAAUAUGAUUCACGUCUCCUGUUCACUUGUGCAACUUUUCUCUUGUUUUUAUUAGGUUGCAAAGCCUCCGUGAGAGGAAUGAUAAUCCCCCUGAAGAUCAGUACACAGAUAACAAUGGGGUUGCAUAUUCCCAUGGCAUGGGCAAAGAAGCCCCGGAGCCGAUCUAUCAAAAUUUUGAUCUAGAGGAUGUGCCUCAUUCUACACGUCACUCGAAACAGAAGUAUGAAUCUGCCUUUCCGCUAUAUGUGAAUGAUGUGUACAGCCCAUGAGAGGUGCAGGAUGCUGGAAGAUAAGCAUCUCAGUUUAGCUUUUUCAAAGUUUGAUUUCAAUGUGUCAGAGCCAGCAGAAGAGGAAAGAAGAGGACACUCCGGCACUGAAGGAACAUUUCAGAAAUUUGGAAAUAUGCAGAAUUUUUGGUUUUUGAAGAGAGAAAUAAAGAGCAACAUGAGUUUAACCUACCUGAUUUCUUAACUGGGCAUGAGGAUGUGUGUCAAUUUCAGACUAGUUCCUCCUGUGCAAAAGGAAACUGUGUUUGAUGUAAAUAGAUGAUGCUGUAUUAUAAAUCAUAAUUUUAUUUCUGUUACAUGUAUGCUGAACUGGAAUGUAUGAGAGGGCUCACUUUAUUAUUUGAUCAUAUGAGUCAGAAUUUUCUUUUUGUUAUCUUUAUCUCUAUACAACUAUUAAUUU